ensembl:lncRNA
GAGCGGCCAGUCGCGGCCUGGAGUGGGGGCGUUUCAGGGGCGGCUGAGGGAGGCAAACGGUACCUGAGGUGUUCUGUCGCCGGCCUCACCCCGGGGACCGUUCCAACCCCUGUGGAGGCCACGGCCCUGGGCCCUCAGUUCCCCCUCGGCUUCCCCUUCAGCGGGCGGGAAAGGGCGCUAUACGGAGGAAGGGAGGCCCUGCGGCCGCCUGUCGGCCGGCUCGGCGGACCCCUGGCCUUGGUGGCCGCCAUGGUGCGCGGGGAAGGUGGACGCGAGCUGCGUCUUCCCGAGUCCCAGCACGCCCGGGGCCGGGAGCUGGGAAGCGGGGCCUGCGGACCCGGCCGGCCAGAAGGAAGGAGGGUGAACCGCGGCCGCCGAGCGCCGCCAGGACUGCGCGGCUGCGGGGGCGGAGGGACGCACCUGCCUCCCGCCCACCUGGGCCCCGGGGCUGCCGCCGUCGCUCGCGGGCAGUCCUCGCGGAGGAAUUCCUCCAGCUUUGCUCGCAGAGUUGAAAGCCCGGGAGGCCGUCGGUUCUGCAAAGAGGAGCAGUCGGGCGCGGGCGAGCAAGCAGCUGAUGAAAAUAAUUGUCCUCGCACACAACCCUGCGCCCAGGGGCGCGUGCACGCGCGCGCGCGCGCGUACACACACACUCACACAACUUGCCUCAUCUAGCCGCCCAACCUUAGUAUUCUGGGCAUGUGGUUUUCAAAAACUUGCUUGACACAAUAACAAAGACAUUUAAAUGCCAGGACGCAGACUUCACUUUUUAACCUGCUGAGAGGAGCUACUUUCAAAGCUUCCCCACCGAGAAUAAACUGACAAAAAAUAUGGGGUGCACUUAUAAAUUAAACACCUUACCCUCAAAGCAAUGUGCGUUAAUCAGGUUUCUAAGGCAAUAGCCAUCUCUGUCUUUUCCUAUUCACCCAGAUAAUGCCCCAAGAAGGAACCCCUUUACACAAGAGAGAGCUGGGGGGGGGGGGAAUGAAUUAU